UCUCCGUUGGUGAAUCAGCGGAGGGAUCAUUACCGAGUUUACAACUCCCAAACCCAAUGUGAACGUUACCAAACUGUUGCCUCGGCGGGAUCUCUGCCCCGGGUGCGUCGCAGCCCCGGACCAAGGCGCCCGCCGGAGGACCAACCAAAAACUCUUUUGUAUACCCCCUCGCGGGUUUUUUAUAUCUGAGCCAUCUCGGCGCCUCUCGUAGGCGUUUCGAAAAUGAAUCAAAACUUUCAACAACGGAUCUCUUGGUUCUG
rnacentral:misc_RNA from 1 species